rnacentral:misc_RNA from 1 species
UUUCCGUAGGUGAACCUGCGGAAGGAUCAUUAAUGUGUUUGGGCCUCACGGCUCUUCAUUCCGACGCUGUGCGCCUUCGGGCUGCACGCUGAGGGAGCAUAUAUCCACCCCUGUGCACACACACGGUGGCGAGCUGGGUAACGGCUCGCCGCUGAUCUUUACACACGUCUAAAAGUCAUUGUAUGUUUAUUUGAGAUAAUAACACAACUUUCAGCAACGGAUCUCUUGGCUCUC